UACGAAGGGGGCUAGCGUUGGUCGGAAUUACUGGGCGUAAAGGGCGCGUAGGCGGCGUGUCAAGUCAGGCGUGAAAGCCCCGGGCUCAACCUGGGAACCGCGCUUGAGACUGGCAUGCUCGAGUUCGGGAGAGGAUGGUGGAAUUCCCAGUGUAGAGGUGAAAUUCGUAGAUAUUGGGAAGAACACCGAUGGCGAAGGCAGCCAUCUGGACCGACACUGACGCUGAGGCGCGAAAGCGUGGGGAGCAAACAGG
rnacentral:rRNA from 1 species